UGUUCUCUUUAUCUCACAUUACUCUGGGACUUUUUUUUUUUGCAGAGAAUUGAGUCUUGCACUUUGGAAAUGCUCUGUCCACCUUCAAUGUUCCACACACAAACAGCAAAAAAUGUAGGGAGAUGCUUCAGAUGAUCAACUGCUUCUUCAAAUGGGUUUUUCUGAACUUUAAAGCUGAAUCUUGAAACAAUCCCACAGUUCUGGAGAACUUAGCAACAACAACAAUAAAAAGAAGAAAGGAAACA
ensembl:lncRNA